AUUGAACGCUGGCGGCAGGCCUAACACAUGCAAGUCGAACGGAGUGGCGGACGGGUGAGUAAUGUCUGGGAAACUGCCCGAUGGAGGGGGAUAACUACUGGAAACGGUAGCUAAUACCGCAUACUAUCAGAUGAGCCUAGGUCGGAUUAGCUAGUUGGUGGGGUAAAGUCCUACCAAGGCGACGAUCCGUAACUGGUCUGAGAGGAUGAUCAGACACACUGGAACGGAGACACGGUCCAGACUCCUAAGGGAGGCAGCGGUGGGGAAUAUGAGACAAUGGGCGAAAGCCUGAUCCAGCCAUGCGGCGGGGGUGAAGAAGGUCUUCGGAUUGUAAAGCACUUUAAGUUGGGAGGCGUUACCAACAGAAUAAGCACCGGCUAACUUCGUGCCAGCAGCCGCGGUAAUUC
rnacentral:rRNA from 1 species